rnacentral:rRNA from 1 species
UACGGAAGGUCCGGGCGUUAUCCGGAUUUAUUGGGUUUAAAGGGAGCGCAGGCUGUAGAUUAAGCGUGACGUGAAAUGCCGCGGCUCAACCGUGGAAGUGCGUCGCGAACUGGUUUGCUUGAGUGCGGUCGACGCAUGCGGAAUUCGUUGUGUAGCGGUGAAAUGCUUAGAUAUGACGAAGAACCCCGAUUGCGAAGGCAGCGUGCGAGUCCGUAACUGACGCUAAAGCUCGAAGGUGCGGGUAUCGAAC